ACGAUCUUCAGAUGGGGGCGGCACUACACGCCCCCGACGCAGGCCGGCCGAUUCAGUGACCUGCACAGCAUACACUGCCCAGUGUUUGACAGGGACACUUAACAGGUAGAUAAAUCUACAGAACGUUGAUAAAGGCAGAUAUUAAUGCAUCCGAGGAGCAGCUCUGUACUUUGUGUAGAAGAGUCAUCUGUGAGCUGAACUUUUUUGUUAAGCAAUGGAGCAUGACCAAGCUGAAGAAAGAGAGAGCAGAGAAUAUAUUCAGAAGAGGGAUUUCAAGGAAGUCUGAAAGCAGCUGUAAUUGAUUAUGUCAUCAAUCAUGCUGUAACCUUGGCAGCGGCUGGCCAGAGGGGGCAGUCAAAUUUAAACGGAUUAAAACUAGCUUUGAUUAUUUGUACAAUCAAGAUUAAAAAUAGGUCAUUGGCCUUUACAAGGUGAGCAUAUUUUGCAUUUCAGCACAUUACACUGCCCAAAGAUUAUGAGAUGUCUAUACACCUAUUUAUGAAAUAUUCUGGGGGGCAUUUCUGUGAUGGUUCUUUAACAACACCAUCGAGCACUUACAGUUCAUUUAGUUAUGCCAUCUUUUUGAAAGACAUGCCCUACCACAGAGAAUCAAGCCGGGCGAGGAAGGUUUCGGCAACAUUCAUCAAAGCAGUUUAGAUGUGAUUGAUCGUGUCCUGAAAAAAUACUGGCAUCUAAAUUAAGCAGGGCCACAGUCAUCUGAAACCAACCACUGAAGUACAGACGUUCUUUUGGGAGAUAACAUGGCUUGACAGCAGUGUAUUUAUGUAGAUGCGACUGGAUUUAAUCUUACAAAAAAAAAGCAAAAGGGCAAAAAAACAUUAUUAGUCAGCGUUGCCAUGGUGCAGGUCCCCGGUCAGUGCAGAUGGAAGAUAAUCAUAUGUACAGCUAUUUUAAGAAAUGGGCUGGAAUGGCGUUUUCAACCUUUCUGGAGCCUUUAAAUGGGAACCUCAUUCUUCUUGAGAAGCGAGAAGAGUUACACUUGCCAGGAUUGACUGGCUUCGUUUCUGCGUGGGACAAUGCCCAUUUCUACUAUGCAGCGUUAGUGUGCGUGGUCUUGAAGCCUGUCCACACUUCGUAAUGCUGUUCCGCCGCCCCCCCUCUCACACUCCCGAUUUGAACCCCAUUGAUUUUUUUUUUUUUUUAAUCCUGAAGCUAGAAAGAGUAUAACUGCAAAUCUCAGAAAGGGCAACGUUUCUCGAGGCCAUGGAAGAAGCCUGUGAAGACAUUAAGGCCUGUCAGGAAUUGCUGUGGCACUUACAGUAGUAAGGGCUUUUUUUCUCAAGAUACAGAGAGGGCCGAGAAAACAUACAACGCGAUAACAAAUAACGCUGCAAGUUCAGCCAAACACCACCGAUGUGAUUAUAUUUAUAGGUGGUGUGAAAUUCUUCUUUUAUGCAUGAGUUACGCUUGUUAAAGCGCAUGCAACAAAUAUAUUUGUCUGCAAAAUGGCACUGCUAAAAUUAAACUGCAGCUCUCUAUAUGCAAAAUGCUGAGGUUGGAGGUUAUUCUACAUGCAGAAGAAUAUAAUAAUUACUUGUUGUUGAUCUCUAAAAUAUGACACCUGUACCUGGUUAUAUAUUUUAUGUAUACAAAUCUGUAAUUACUGACCAAACACACAUCAUCAGGACUAACUGGCUGUUUUGUAACCCAGUCUUUUGGCUGUGAGUUGUUUAACAGAAUAAAAAUGUGUUCUGGCUUAUGAAAGCCCACAUACUGAGUUGACAAACUACUGCAUUAGAUCAUUUUCUCUGGUCCUGCUAUAUUGUACUCAUGUUUAUUCCACCUUUUGUUUGCACAUAAAACACAGUGCAGGAAAUAUUGAAUUAAGUCUCUUUGGAUCCACUUAAAUAAUGAGAUGCUCCUUCAUUUUGGCAAAACCUAUGAAUGCCUUCAGCAGGCCAAGUCUGGGAGGUGCUUAGGUGUGAUAAAUCCUCAGAGCAUAUGCACUUUAAAGGUGAUUCCAAAUACUGAUAUUUAAGAUGUUAUUUUGCAGUCAGCUCCUUGCAGUUGCCAGACUCUGAAGCUACUAACUGGAAGUGCGUCCGCUUUCCA